rnacentral:tRNA from 2 species
GGGGGCGGAUCGGGGCUGGUGUCCCGUCUGGUCUUCAAAACCAGUGUGCCCGGCUAAAACCCGGGUGGGUGGGUUCGAUUCCCACACGCCCCCGCCA